rnacentral:rRNA from 1 species
GGCCAGACUCCUACGGGAGGCAGCAGUGAGGAAUAUUGGUCAAUGGGCGCAGGCCUGAACCAGCCAAGUCGCGUGAGGGAAGACUGCCCUAUGGGUUGUAAACCUCUUUUAUAAGGGAAGAAUAAUGACUACGUGUAGUCAGAUGCCCGUACCUUAUGAAUAAGCAUCGGCUAACUCCGUGCCAGCAGCCGCGGUAAUACGGAGGAUGCGAGCGUUAUCCGGAUUUAUUGGGUUUAAAGGGUGCGUAGGCUGUGAGGUAAGUCAGCGGUGAAAUGCCCCCGCUCAACGGGGUGAAGUGCCAUUGAUACUGCCUUGCUGGAAUGCGGAUGCCGUGGGAGGAAUGUGUGGUGUAGCGGUGAAAUGCAUAGAUAUCACACAGAACACCGAUUGCGAAGGCAUCUCACGAAUCCGCGAUUGACGCUGAUGCACGAAAGCGUGGGUAUCAAACAGGAUUAGAUACCCGCGUAGG